rnacentral:rRNA from 1 species
GACGAACGCUGGCGGCGUGCUUAACACAUGCAAGUCGUACGGUAAGGCCCUUUCGGGGGUACACGAGUGGCGAACGGGUGAGCAACACGUGAGUAACCUGCCCACAACUUUGGGAUAACGCUAGGAAACUGGUGCUAAUACUGGAUAUGUGCUCCUGCUGCAUGGUGGGGGUUGGAAAGCUCCGGCGGUUGUGGAUGGACUCGCGGCCUAUCAGCUUGUUGGUGGGGUAGUGGCCUACCAAGGCGGCGACGGGUAGCCGGCCUGAGAGGGUGACCGGCCACAUUGGGACUGAGAUACGGCCCAGACUCCUACGGGAGGCAGCAGUGGGGAAUAUUGCACAAUGGGCGCAAGCCUGAUGCAGCAACGCCGCGUGCGGGAUGACGGCCUUCGGGUUGUAAACCGCUUUCAGCAGGGACGAAGCUUUUUGUGACGGUACCUGCAGAAGAAGCACCGGCUAACUACGUG